rnacentral:rRNA from 1 species
CCUACGGGUGGCUGCAGUGAGGAAUAUUGGUCAAUGGACGAGAGUCUGAACCAGCCAAGUAGCGUGAAGGAUGACUGCCCUAUGGGUUGUAAACUUCUUUUAUAUGGGAAUAAAAUGUUCCACGUGUGGGAUUUUGUAUGUACAAUAUGAAUAAGGAUCGGCUAACUCCGUGCCAGCAGCCGCGGUAAUACGGAGGCUCCGAGCGUUAUCCGGAUUUAUUGGGUUUAAAGGGAGCGUAGGUGGAUUGUUAAGUCAGUUGUGAAAGUUUGCGGCUCAACCGUAAAAUUGCAGUUGAAACUGGCAGUCUUGAGUACAGUAGAGGUGGGCGGAAUUCGUGGUGUAGCGGUGAAAUGCUUAGAUAUCACGAAGAACUCCGAUUGCGAAGGCAGUUCACUGGACUGCAACUGACACUGAGGCUCGAAAGUGUGGGUAUCAAACAGGAUUAGAUACCCUUGUAGUC